ACCUUAAAAUGCUGAAUUUUCCACAGAUAUUCAGAAUAUAUCACAUCUGUCAGUGUUUAACCUAAAUAUUAUCAACAUAUUCAACCAGCAUUCAUGUAUUCUCACCUUGGAAGAAAUUUUAUAAACAUCAUUUACAAUACUUUUUUUUAAUUCCUUCCAGUUGAAUCGGGUCAUACACCUGAUUCUUGUAAUAACACAUUCUGCACACUUACUGAG
rnacentral:misc_RNA from 1 species